rnacentral:SRP_RNA from 2 species
GCUGGGUGUGGUGGCUCACAUCUGUAAUCCCAGCAUUCAGGAGGCUGAGAUGGGCGGAUCACCUGAGGUCAGGAGUUCAAGACCAGCCUGGCCAACAUGGUGAAACCCCGUCUCUA